GUAAGGAUGCCCGGGCUGGCUCCGCUGGGAAGAGCCGGUGUGACGUUUCCCUUUCCAGCCUUCCGGCCUUGCUGUCUGCCUCCCGGGCUGAUUGGAUUCGUUACUGCUUUGCAACGCGCACCGAACUACAGAUAACAAUUCUCCUGGAGGAGGGAAGGUUGGGCAGCUGCAGCAGGAGGCCGACCCCAGGACUUUGGAUCCCUGUCUCCACUGUGUAACUCCAACUGGUAAUGGGACUGGAGACCCCAGGAUCCCUCAGCAAAAAGACUGCUGACUAAGGAGAAGACUGCUGGGAGCCCCUCCCCAGUUCCCUCCUGUGAUAGGCUGGAGUGCAGUGGCACAAUCUCAGCUUGCUGUGACCUCAGCUCUCUGCGAC